rnacentral:rRNA from 1 species
GACGAACGCUGGCGGCGUGCUUAACACAUGCAAGUCGAACGCGCCUGUCCUCUGGGUUUCUGGGGGGUGGGUGAGUGGCGAACGGGUGAGUAACACGUGAGUAACCUGCCCCCUUCUUCGGGAUAACGGUCUGAAAGGGCUGCUAAUACCGGGUAUUCACUGGUCUCCGCAUGGGGUCUGGUGGAAAGGUUUUUUUCUGGUGGGGGAUGGGCUCGCGGCCUAUCAGCUUGUUGGUGGGGUGAUGGCCCACCAAGGCUUUGACGGGUAGCCGGCCUGAGAGGGUGCCCGGUCACAUUGGGACGGAGAUACGGCCCAGACUCCUACGGGAGGCAGCAGUGGGGAAUAUUGCACAAUGGGCGCAAGCCUGAUGCAGCGACGCCGCGUGAGGGAUGGAGGCCUUCGGGUUGUGAACCUCUUUCGCCCGUGGUCAAGCCGCGACGUGGGUCGUGGUGAGGGUAGUGGGUAAAGAAGCGCCGGCUAACUACGUG